rnacentral:lncRNA from 1 species
AUGACAAGAAUCUCAACUUUAUGCUUUCAGAUUUCAAGUCACACAAUUUUCUCCAUGAAGGUUCCCUACUGGAGGCUGAGGAAAGGAAGGAUAUGGAUGGAAAAGUCUCCAGAGAAACACAUAUCAUAAAGAAAAGAUAAUCACAACCUCUUGAAA